UACGGAGGGUGCGAGCGUUGUCCGGAAUCACUGGGCGUAAAGGGCGCGUAGGCGGCGCAACAAGUCAACGGUGAAAGCCCGGGGCUCAACCCCGGGUCGGCCGUCGAUACUGUUGGGCUAGAGCACUGUAGAGGCAGGUGGAAUUCCGGGUGUAGCGGUGGAAUGCGUAGAGAUCCGGAAGAACACCGGUGGCGAAGGCGGCCUGCUGGGCAGGUAGCUGACGCUGAGCGCGACAGCGUGGGGAGC
rnacentral:rRNA from 1 species